rnacentral:rRNA from 1 species
UACGUAGGGGGCUAGCGUUGUCCGGAAUCAUUGGGCGUAAAGAGCGUGUAGGCGGUCCGGUAAGUCCGCUGUGAAAGUCGGGGGCUCAACCCUCGAAUGCCGGUGGAUACUGCCCGGGCUAGAGUCCGGAAGAGGGCGAGUGGAAUUCCUGGUGUAGCGGUGGAAUGCGCAGAUAUCAGGAGGAACACCGAUGGCGAAGGCAGGUCACUGGGCCGCAACUGACGCUGAGGAGCGAAAGCAUGGGGAGCGAACAGG